rnacentral:rRNA from 1 species
UCUGGUUGAUCCUGCCAGAGGUUACUGCUAUCGAGGUUCGACUAAGCCAUGCGAGUCGAAUGUAGCAAUACAUGGCGUACUGCUCAGUAACACGUGGACAACCUACCCUUAGGUCGGGGAUAAACCCGGGAAACUGGGUAUAAUACCCGAUAGAUCUCGACUGCUGGAAUGCAUCGAGAUCGAAAGCUCCGGCGCCUAAGGAUGGGUCUGCGGCCUAUCAGGUAGUAGUGGGUGUAGCGUACCUACUAGCCUACGACGGGUACGGGUUGUGAGAGCAAGAGCCCGGAGAUGGAUUCUGAGACACGAAUCCAGGCCCUACGGGGUGCAGCAGGCGCGAAAACUUUACAAUGCUGGAAACAGCGAUAAGGGGACCUCGAGUGCCAGGUUACAAAUCUGGCUGUCGUGAUGCCUAAAAAGCAUUGCAUAGCAAGGGCCGGGCAAGACCGGUGCCAGCCGCCGCGGUAACACCGGCGGCUCGAGUGGUAACCGUUAUUAUUGGGUCUAAAGGGUCUGUAGCCGGCCGGAUAAGUCUCUUGGGAAAUCCAGCAGCUCAACUGUUGGGCUUUCAGGAGAUACUGUCUGGCUCGAGGCCGGGAGAGGUGAGAGGUACUUCAGGGGUAGGGGUGAAAUCUUGUAAUCCUUGAAGGACCACCAGUGGCGAAGGCGUCUCACCAGAACGGACCUGACGGCAAGGGACGAAAGCUAGGGGCACGAACCGGAUUAGAUACCCGGGUAGUCCCAGCCGUAAACGAUGCUCGCUAGGUGUCAGGCAUGGCGCGACCGUGUCUGGUGCCGUAGGGAAGCCGUGAAGCGAGCCACCUGGGAAGUACGGCCGCAAGGCUGAAACUUAAAGGAAUUGGCGGG